UACGUAGGGUGCAAGCGUUGUCCGGAAUUAUUGGGCGUAAAGAGCUCGUAGGCGGUUUGUCGCGUCUGCUGUGAAAACCCGAGGCUCAACCUCGGGCCUGCAGUGGGUACGGGCAGACUAGAGUGCGGUAGGGGAGAUUGGAAUUCCUGGUGUAGCGGUGGAAUGCGCAGAUAUCAGGAGGAACACCGGUGGCGAAGGCGGUUCUCUGGGCCUGUACUGACGCUGAGGAGCGAAAGCAUGGGGAGCGAACAGG
rnacentral:rRNA from 1 species